UACGUAGGGGGCAAGCGUUGUCCGGAUUUAUUGGGCGUAAAGAGCGUGUAGGCGGCUCGGUAAGUCCGCUCUGAAAGCCCGGGGCUCAACCCCGGGAGGCGGGCGGAUACUGUCGGGCUAGAGUCCGGAAGAGGCGAGUGGAAUUCCUGGUGUAGCGGUGAAAUGCGCAGAUAUCAGGAGGAACACCAAUAGCGAAGGCAGCUCGCUGGGACGGUACUGACGCUGAGACGCGAAAGCGUGGGGAGCGAACAGG
rnacentral:rRNA from 1 species